GCCACAGAUCCUCUCCUAUCUUCGCGAC
rnacentral:sRNA from 1 species